AAGCGCUUGUGACCAGACUUGCGUCCGGUGAAUCACCCAGCUCUCGCGGCUGGGGCACUUCGCCGGCACAGGCCAGCAUCAGCUUGCCGUCGGGGACAAAAGCUUCAGGAACGUAGCUCUCUUCGGGGAGUGUUAUAGCCCAUUGCAUAAUACCCUGGGGCGGACUGAGGUUCGCGCAUUCGUGCAAGGAUGCUGGCGUAAUGGUCAUCAGCGA
rnacentral:rRNA from 1 species